rnacentral:rRNA from 1 species
CGGACGGGUGGAGUAACGACGUGGAAACCGUAGCCGUAGUACUGGGGAGUAACACUUAGAAAUAGGUGCUAAUACCGCAUAAGCGCACAGCUUCGCAUGAAGCGGUGUGAAAACUCUGGUGGUAUACGAUGGUUCCGCGUCUGAUUAGCUAGUUGGUGGGGUAAUGGCCUACCAAGGCAACGAUCAGUAGCCGGCUUGAGAGGGUGAACGGCCACAUUGGGACUGAGACACGGCCCAAACUCCUACGGGAGGCAGCAG